rnacentral:tRNA from 1 species
GGGCCUGUAGCUCAGCUGGCAGAGCAGUUGACUCUUAAUCAAUUGGUCGGAGGUUCGAAUCCUCUCAGGCCUACCA